AUUGAACGCUGGCGGCAGGCCUAACACAUGCAAGUCGAACGGUAGCACAGAGAGCUUGCUCUCGGGUGACGAGUGGCGGACGGGUGAGUAAUGUCUGGGAAACUGCCUGAUGGAGGGGGAUAACUACUGGAAACGGUAGCUAAUACCGCAUAACGUCGCAAGACCAAAGAGGGGGACCUUCGGGCCUCUUGCCAUCAGAUGUGCCCAGAUGGGAUUAGCUAGUAGGUGGGGUAACGGCUCACCUAGGCGACGAUCCCUAGCUGGUCUGAGAGGAUGACCAGCCACACUGGAACUGAGACACGGUCCAGACUCCUACGGGAGGCAGCAGUGGGGAAUAUUGCACAAUGGGCGCAAGCCUGAUGCAGCCAUGCCGCGUGUAUGAAGAAGGCCUUCGGGUUGUAAAGUACUUUCAGCGGGGAGGAAGGUGUUGCGGUUAAUAACCGCAGCAAUUGACGUUACCCGCAGAAGAAGCACCGGCUAACUCCGUGCCAGCAGCCGCGGUAAUACGGAGGGUGCAAGCGUUAAUCGGAAUUACUGGGCGUAAAGCGCACGCAGGCGGUCUGUCAAGUCGGAUGUGAAAUCCCCGGGCUCAACCUGGGAACUGCAUUCGAAACUGGCAGGCUAGAGUCUUGUAGAGGGGGGUAGAAUUCCAGGUGUAGCGGUGAAAUGCGUAGAGAUCUGGAGGAAUACCGGUGGCGAAGGCGGCCCCCUGGACAAAGACUGACGCUCAGGUGCGAAAGCGUGGGGAGCAAACAGGAUUAGAUACCCUGGUAGUCCACGCCGUAAACGAUGUCGACUUGGAGGUUGUGCCCUUGAGGCGUGGCUUCCGGAGCUAACGCGUUAAGUCGACCGCCUGGGGAGUACGGCCGCAAGGUUAAAACUCAAAUGAAUUGACGGGGGCCCGCACAAGCGGUGGAGCAUGUGGUUUAAUUCGAUGCAACGCGAAGAACCUUACCUACUCUUGACAUCCAGAGAACUUUCCAGAGAUGGAUUGGUGCCUUCGGGAACUCUGAGACAGGUGCUGCAUGGCUGUCGUCAGCUCGUGUUGUGAAAUGUUGGGUUAAGUCCCGCAACGAGCGCAACCCUUAUCCUUUGUUGCC
rnacentral:rRNA from 2 species